GUAGCAUGCGGGUGCUAUACAUGCAGUCGAGCGAACUGAUUAGAAGCUUGCUUCUAUGACGUUAGCGGCGGACGGGUGAGUAACACGUGGGCAACCUGCCUGUAAGACUGGGAUAACUUCGGGAAACCGAAGCUAAUACCGGAUAGGAUCUUCUCCUUCAUGGGAGAUGAUUGAAAGAUGGUUUCGGCUAUCACUUACAGAUGGGCCCGCGGUGCAUUAGCUAGUUGGUGAGGUAACGGCUCACCAAGGCAACGAUGCAUAGCCGACCUGAGAGGGUGAUCGGCCACACUGGGACUGAGACACGGCCCAGACUCCUACGGGAGGCAGCAGUAGGGAAUCUUCCGCAAUGGACGAAAGUCUGACGGAGCAACGCCGCGUGAGUGAUGAAGGCUUUCGGGUCGUAAAACUCUGUUGUUAGGGAAGAACAAGUACGAGAGUAACUGCUCGUACCUUGACGGUACCUAACCAGAAAGCCACGGCUAACUACGUGCCAGCAGCCGCGGUAAUACGUAGGUGGCAAGCGUUAUCCGGAAUUAUUGGGCGUAAAGCGCGCGCAGGCGGUUUCUUAAGUCUGAUGUGAAAGCCCACGGCUCAACCGUGGAGGGUCAUUGGAAACUGGGGAACUUGAGUGCAGAAGAGA
rnacentral:rRNA from 2 species